GGCCGAUUGGCCUAAUGGCUAGGGUGUUAGAUUUCGGGUAAUUUACUCUACCUCUAAAGAUUGUCGGUUCGAGUCCGGCAUCGGUCG